UGAGGAAUAUUGGUCAAUGGGCGCAAGCCUGAACCAGCCAUGCCGCGUGCAGGAUGAAGCAUCUAUGGUGUGUAAACUGCCUUUGUACGGGAAGAAACCACCCCUCGUGAGGGGUAUUGACGGUACCGUAAGAAUAAGGAUCGGCUAACUCCGUGCUAGCAGCCGCGGUAAUACGGAGGAUCCAAGCGUUAUCCGGAAUCAUUGGGUUUAAAGGGUCCGUAGGCGGGUCUGUAAGUCAGUGGUGAAAUCUCCCCGCUCAACGGGGAAACUGCCAUUGAUACUGCAGGUCUUGAAUUAUUGGGAAGUAACUAGAAUAUGUAGUGUAUCGGUGAAAUGCUUAGAGAUUACAUGGAAUACCAAUUGCGAGGUCAGGUUACUACCAAUGGAUUGACGCUGAUUGACGAAGGAGUGGGUAGCGAA
rnacentral:rRNA from 1 species